rnacentral:rRNA from 1 species
UCCUACGGGGGGCAGCAGUGAGGAAUAUUGGUCAAUGGGCGGGAGCCUGAACCAGCCAAGUCGCGUGAGGGAAGACGGUCCUAUGGAUUGUAAACCUCUUUAGGCGGGGAGCAAUGCCGGGCACGCGUGCCCGGAGGGAGAGUACCCGCAGAAUAAGCAUCGGCUAACUCCGUGCCAGCAGCCGCGGUAAUACGGAGGAUGCGAGCGUUAUCCGGAUUUAUUGGGUUUAAAGGGUGCGUAGGCGGACGCUUAAGUCAGCGGUAAAAUUGCGGGGCUCAACCUCGUCGAGCCGUUGAAACUGGGUG